rnacentral:rRNA from 1 species
GGGCCUGCUCAAUGCGAUUACGGGUAGCCGGCCUGAGAGGGCGACCGGCCACACUGGGACUGAGACACGGCCCAGACUCCUGCGGGAGGCAGCAGUGGGGAAUAUUGCGCAAUGGGCGAAAGCCUGACGCAGCGACGCCGCGUGGGGGAUGACGGCCUUCGGGUUGUAAACCUCUUUUACCACCAACGCAGGCCCGGAGUUCUCUUCGGGUUGACGGUAGGUGGGGAAUAAGGACCGGCUAACUACGUGCCAGCAGCCGCGGUAAUACGUAGGGUCCGAGCGUUGUCCGGAAUUAUUGGGCGUAAAGAGCUCGUAGGCGGCGUGUCGCGUCUGCUGUGAAAGACCGGGGCUUAACUCCGGUUCUGCAGUGGAUACGGGCAUGCUAGAGGUAGGUAGGGGAGACUGGAAUUCCUGGUGUAGCGGUGAAAUGCGCAGAUAUCAGGAGGAACACCGGUGGCGAAGGCGGGUCUCUGGGCCUUACCUGACGCUGAGGAGCGAAAGCAUGGGGAGCGAACAGGAUUAGAUACCCUGGUAGUCCAUGCCGUAAACGUUGGGCGCUAGGUGUGGGGACUUUCCACGGUUUCCGCNGCCGU